AGCGGAGGAAAAGAAACCAACAGGGAUUGCCCUAGUAACGGCGAGUGAAGCGGCAACAGCUCAAAUUUGAAAUCUGGCUCUUUCAGGGUCCGAGUUGUAAUUUGCAGAGGGCGCUUUGGCGUUGGCAGCGGUCCAAGUUCUUUGGAACAGGACGUCACAGAGGGUGAGAAUCCCGUACGUGGUCGCUAGCCUUCGCCGUGUAAAGCCCCUUCGACGAGUCGAGUUGUUUGGGAAUGCAGCUCUAAAUGGGAGGUAAAUUUCUUCUAAAGCUAAAUACUGGCCAGAGACCGAUAGCGCACAAGUAGAGUGAUCGAAAGAUGAAAAGCACUUUGGAAAGAGAGUCAAAUAGCACGUGAAAUUGUUGAAAGGGAAGCGCUUGCAGCCAGACUUGCCUGUAGUUGCUUAUCUGGACUUUUGUCCGGUGCACUCUUCUAUAGGCAGGCCAGCAUCAGUUUGGGCGGUUGGAUAAAGGUCUCUGUCAUGUACCUCCUUUCGGGGAGGCCUUAUAGGGGAGACGACAUGCAACCAGCCUGGACUGAGGUCCGCGCAUCUGCUAGGAUGCUGGCGUAAUGGCUGUAAGCGGCCCGUCUUGAAACACGGACCAAGGAGUCUAACAUCUAUGCGAGUGUUUGGGUGUCAAGCCCAGACGCGUAAUGAAAGUGAACGGAGGUGGGAACCCUUUUGGUGCACCAUCGCCCGAUCCUGAUGUUCUCGGAUGGAUUUGA
rnacentral:rRNA from 1 species